rnacentral:rRNA from 1 species
UACAGAGGGGGGCAAGCGUUGUCCGGAAUUAUUGGGCGUAAAGCGCGUGUAGGCGGCUUUGCAAGUCGGGUGUGAAAGCCCUCGGCUCAACCGAGGAAGUGCGCCCGAAACUGCAGAGCUUGAGUACCGGAGAGGAUGGCGGAAUUCCCCAAGUAGAGGUGAAAUUCGUAGAUAUGGGGAGGAACACCGGUGGCGAAGGCGGCCAUCUGGACGGAUACUGACGCUGAGACGCGAAAGCGUGGGGAGCAAACAGG